UUACUUUAUCACGUAUGACUGCUUUUUCUCAGUUGCUCAUAACAUUAGUUAAAUGAAUUGAUUGGGUCAUUUGUUAAGAUUCUAUAUUAAAUCUAUUACUUUGGUUUAUAUCUAUGAAUUAAUUUUCAUGUGCUAUUUUAUGAGAAAUAGUACUAUACUCCUAUAUUUUACUAUUUUCAAAUAAUAUGUAUUUUUUAUUUGGAAAUUGGAUGAUGUGAACUUGUGGAUUUACAUUGUUUGGAAAUUAAUUUAUAAAUGGACAUAUUUGUGACAGAAUAUUUGAAGUUAAAUUAUAGGUUACAAUGCUUCAGUAACAGUUUAAUUUGAUGAGAUGAUGUUCUGUUCUACGUAUUCCGCUAACCAUAAGAAUUGUCGGUUUGUAGUUUAAUGUUUAUUGUGUUUUCACGGGAAUUUUAUUCUAAUGAGUAGGACUAUUGGUUAUGUGUUCAACUAGCUUUAAUUUCAUAAUUUCAUAAGUAUGUUCGACGCGUGUAGAGCGGAAUGAUACAUUGUCCCGAAUAACAUAUAAAGUGGAAUAUAGAAUUGAUAUAAUUACGAUUCAUCUAAAUAAUGUUAGGAGCAAUAUUCUAUAUCUUUUUAAUUUCUCUAAUUUCAUGCUUUAUUCAUUAGAAUCAUUACUCAUACCAUAAUCCCAAUUAUUGCUUUAGAAUAGUUAAAUAAGUAACGCCUCUUUAAAUGGCUGUUUACAAAGAGUGAACAUCUUUUCGUUGAGAUUUUAAGCGGCAAAUGGACCUCAGGCCGAGGCUUCGACAAUCCUUCUCCGGCUUCACCAAAUCCGAGGUUCAGAAAAUGGAGUGGUUACUUGAUAGUCAUAAAGAGCAAACUUUGGAAGAUGAGUUCUGUAAGAAAUUAGCAAGACUUUUCAAUCGUGUGAAAGGCCGUGCUGGAAAACCAGUUGUAAAGUGGAUUGAGGUUCAGAGGUGGUUUCAGAAAAAUCAACAGCAGGGCCUCUACAGAGAGGCUUCGUUUGAUGAAGCUAACAAGUUACCUGAUGUCCCAGAAACUCUCACUCAGAACAAAGCAAAUGGAAAUGCGAAGAUGCCUGAGGGAAUCGAGGAUGCAGAUAUAUCUAGGUUGGAGUUUGAAGCACGGUCCUCGAAGGAUAGAGCAUGGUAUGACAUUGAUACAUUUCUUUCCCAUAGAUUUCUCAGUUCUGGGGAACCUGAAGUCCUUGUAAGGUUUGUUGGGUUUGGAGCCGAGGAAGAUGAAUGGGUGAAUGCACGAGAUUCUGUGAGGGUGCGGUCUGUUGCUUUGGAGCAUACGGAAUGCCAAAACGUAAAGGUUGGGGAUCUAGUAGUGUGCUUUCAGCCGCCGGCAUGCGCUCAUAUAUGUUUGGAACCAGGAGAGACAGGAUCAAGCAAGAUAUUAUGAUGCUCGUGUACUCGAAAUUCAAAGAAGAUGGCAUGAUAUAAGAGGUUGCAGAUGCCUUUUCUUGAUUAGAUACGAACAUGACAAUGCAGAGGAAAGGGUCCGUUUGAGGAGACUAUGUUGCCGGCCUACCAUAGUGGCGAAGUAGAAGUAAUAGUAGCUCCCUUGAAGAAUAUGUUCGGGUUUACAUACAUCAAGAUUGAAAAGUUUGAGUCGUCGUGCAUUCCACCUUUAUUUUCGUGUUCUUGGCUGCACUGUCUAUCGCGUCCAAGGCUCGUAUUAGUUCAACUUGAUAGUGAUGACUGAUGAUUAUGAUCUUUGCUUAUGUGACGCGUUUACAAGUUGGUUCACAGAAUUCUAAAGGAAAUGUUUAAUGAAAUGAACAAAAUUUACAUCGUUUA